GUAGGAUCUGCUGCGGCAGUGGGGGAACACUGCUGAGCUGUGCAGUUUAUGCUGCCAGCAAGCGUGCAAAGAAGAGGAGGGGGAGCAAGCGCGUACAGGAGGAGGAUGAGUGAGGGAGAGAGUGAGUGCAAACAAUGUCAUUCCGUUCAGGAGGCAAUGCUGCAGUCAACUUUGUCGCGCCAUGAAAGCACAUCACCAGCAACCAAGAGGCUCAGAGUGAGUGCAGAGAAGUUCUCCCUGUUAGUGAUGCGGACUCAUCUGUAGGAGCAGGCUCAUACACACAGUCCGGCUGUCGGUGGUGUGUUGGAACAUGCCUUGACUUGUUGUGCUGCCUUGGUGAAGCAGAGAGAGAAAGCGAGAAAGCCCCACACACAAAAGGAGGGACAGAGAGAGAGGAGGGUCAUGGUCAGCAGCUUACCAGUGUGAAGUGACCCACACAUUGCGAGAGGCCUGCAGCACCUACAGACAGACUCCUGCUGCACUCACUGGAGACAAGCGUGAAUGGAGGAGCUCCACUGCUGCCUGGCUGCUUGAGCUCCCAGCUGUUGGCGUAGGACCACACCACCCCCAUGGGCUUUUAGUGUGAGACUGUUGCCUUCCAACAACCACC